AGUGAACGCUGGCGGUAGGCCUAACACAUGCAAGUCGAACGGCAGCACAGUAAGAGCUUGCUCUUACGGGUGGCGAGUGGCGGACGGGUGAGGAAUACAUCGGAAUCUACUUUUUCGUGGGGGAUAACGUAGGGAAACUUACGCUAAUACCGCAUACGACCUACGGGUGAAAGCAGGGGAUCUUCGGACCUUGCGAGAGUGAAUGAGCCGAUGUCGGAUUAGCUAGUUGGCGGGGUAAAGGCCCACCAAGGCGACGAUCCGUAGCUGGUCUGAGAGGAUGAUCAGCCACACUGGAACUGAGACACGGUCCAGACUCCUACGGGAGGCAGCAGUGGGGAAUAUUGGACAAUGGGCGCAAGCCUGAUCCAGCCAUACCGCGUGGGUGAAGAAGGCCUUCGGGUUGUAAAGCCCUUUUGUUGGGAAAGAAAAGCAGCAGGUUAAUACCCCGCUGUUCUGACGGUACCCAAAGAAUAAGCACCGGCUAACUUCGUG
rnacentral:rRNA from 1 species